AUCCCAGAACUUUGGGAGGCCGAGGCGGGCGGAUCACCUGAGGUCGGGAGUUCGAGACCAGCCUGACCAACAUGGUGAAACCCCGUCUCUACUAAAAAUACAAAAUUAGCCGGCCGUGGUGGUGCAUGCCUGCAAUCCCAGCUACUCAGGAGGCUGAGGCAGGAGAAUUGCUUGAACCCGGGAGGCCGAGGUUUCGUUGAGCAGAGAUCACACCAUUGCACUCCAGCCUGGAUAACAAGAGCGAAACUCCAUCUCAAAAAAAAAAAAAAAAAAGUAAAUCUUUUGUUGUGUACAAAAUCACAUAGAAGCUAUGUUCCAGUUUGUUUGCAUAUGUCAGUCAGGUCAGAUAGAAUUCUAUUUACUAGGAUGUCAUCAACAAUCCACUCACACAGAGCUGGGGCCCUGUCCCAAAUUAAUGCAACCGUAAGAUGAAUUGCUUAAGAUGGAGAAACUUACAUGUAUUUAUGAUUUUGGAAACUCUUGAGGGCUUGUCUUAUACAUUUCAGGCUGAAGUAAAACUUCAGAGACAUUUCUCCCCAUAGUAUAUUGUAAAAUCAGAGGCCAGGCAGAAAAGAAGUAAAAGGCUAGGAUGAGGAAGUCAGUAGGGGCGGGGCGGGGGGGAUCGUUAACACCUAGAACAGUGCGAAGAGGCCACAGGAAACGGUCCCCUUCGGCCAUCCGGACCAGGGUGAGGCACUAGGGAAACCCAACGGGACACACCGCUCUCAGACAGGAAGAGUUGCUGGCUGUAAACAACUCAGGCUGUCUUGUCUUGUGAGAACAGUUACAGAAUGGACACCACGAGGGCAACGGACUUCUGAGAUAAGUAAACGCACCUCUCCUUGGCCACUUAGCUCCUCAAAAGGCCCCAGGGCCCCACCCUUCCUAGGUUGCCUUCCCAGAGUGCCUCGCGCCUUUCCCGGCGUGCCCUGCUGCCGCUCCCCAAGCUGCUCUCCCGGAGGCCUCGGGGCGCCCCUCCGCCAUCUGCAGCUCCCUGCAGACUUGCAGGCUCAGACGGGAGCUGUCCACCGCCUGCAUCAGGAAAAGGGCUUGCUUGCGUGUGGUAACCACCUUCUUCAACGUUUGGUGUGGAGAUUACUGAUGAAGAGUUUGACUUACUACUUGACAGAAUCCCCUUGA
rnacentral:lncRNA from 1 species